rnacentral:rRNA from 1 species
AGAGUUUGAUCCUGGCUCAGGACGAACGCUGGCGGCGUGCCUAACACAUGCAAGUCGAACGAAGCACUGUGGAUAGAGACUUCGGUCAAUUGAAACUUUGACUUAGUGGCGGACGGGUGAGUAACGCGUGAGGAACCUGCCUUUCAGAGGGGGACAACAGUUGGAAACGACUGCUAAUACCGCAUGACACAGCGAGAUCGCAUGGUCUUGCUGUCAAAGAUUUAUCGCUGAAAGAUGGCCUCGCGUCUGAUUAGAUAGUUGGUGAGGUAACGGCCCACCAAGUCGACGAUCAGUAGCCGGACUGAGAGGUUGAACGGCCACAUUGGGACUGAGAUACGGCCCAGACUCCUACGGGAGGCAGCAGUGGGGAAUAUUGGGCAAUGGGGGAAACCCUGACCCAGCAACGCCGCGUGAAGGAAGAAGGCUUUCGGGUUGUAAACUUCUUUUACCAGGGACGAAGAACGUGACGGUACCUGGAGAAAAAGCCACGGCUAACUACGUGCCAGCAGCCGCGGUAAUACGUAGGUGGCAAGCGUUGUCCGGAUUUAUUGGGCGUAAAGGGAACGCAGGCGGUCUUUUAAGUCUGAUGUGAAAGCCUUCGGCUUAACCGGAGUAGUGCAUUGGAAACUGGAAGACUUGAGUGCAGAAGAGGAGAGUGGAACUCCAUGUGUAGCGGUGAAAUGCGUAGAUAUAUGGAAGAACACCAGUGGCGAAAGCGGCUCUCUGGUCUGUAACUGACGCUGAGGUUCGAAAGCGUGGGUAGCAAACAGGAUUAGAUACCCUGGUAGUCCACGCCGUAAACGAUGAAUGCUAGGUGUUGGAGGGUUUCCGCCCUUCAGUGCCGCAGCUAACGCAAUAAGCAUUCCGCCUGGGGAGUACGACCGCAAGGUUGAAACUCAAAGGAAUUGACGGGGGCCCGCAC